GCUGUACUCCGCACGGCUGGAUGAUGUCGGCGACCAAGGCCCUAACAAUUGUUUUGCUGACGAUGACUAUCCUUUUCAUAACUGAAACAUCCUCCAUGUCAUCUUGCGGCGGUGCGUGUAUCCUGUACCAGAAUGGAAGAGUGACAAGCUGCCCCAGUACUUGCAAAUGCGUUGUUCCCAACAAAGAUGCCUUCGGAAGUGGUAGAGGAAAGUGCGAACGUAGUACCUAACUGGCAGCUACAAUCUGGUGCUGCGUUUUAUGGUCGGCCGCCCCGAGGAAUAAAGAAACAUGAUUAAAUAAUAAUACCUUGUAAUAAAUUCGCAUG